GCGCCCUUAGCUCAGUGGACUAGAGCAACGGCCUUCUAAGCCGUGGGUCCCAGGUUCGAAUCCUGGAGGGCGCACCA
rnacentral:tRNA from 1 species